rnacentral:lncRNA from 1 species
CCUGUGUAAAGACUAGACGCAACAACACUAACGCUAGCUAACUACGCGUAUGUGUUUGUGGAGGUUGUAGUUGCUUUAGUGUGCUUCAGUGACUUUCGGUGAAUUUCAGUGAGUUUCAGUAAGUGUCAGAGGUUUUUUUUUAGGUUGUUAGCUAGCGUAUCUCUUCAUGAUACCGUGACGAGAGGGGCAUGGAGCAGAGGGGCAUGGAGCAGAGGGGCAUGGAGCAGAAUUUCAACGGCAGGAAUUUCCGGAUUCGUUCGACCCCGUUGCCAGCAACGUUGAACGUUGGAAAAGAUAGACCCAGUUUGACCAACAAGAGGGAAGAGAAGAGGAAAGUGAGGUUCCAGGCCCAUCUGGGCUCAACGCUGAGGCAUCACCUCUCCUUGUUGUUAUUUUUAUUUUCUUUACCUAAUAUUUGGUUGGACUUUCAUUAAUGAUGUUUUUUUCCUAUUGAUUUUACACUGUGCAUAAUGGUAGAAGUUGAUGAAGUGCAAGGUAAAUUCAUACCCAAAAGCUCCAGUAGAUGGCAAUAGACUAGUGAAAUGGAUAUAAAUUGUAUUUUCCAGCCAGUUUCCACUGGAAAUGAGUAAGCUAGCUAUAGCUAUAGUAUCCUAUUUGGCAAUGUGGUGCCAAAUUGUGCCAAACUGAGUGUCCGCCUGGUGAUAUCCUUACUAAAACCUUUGUGAAGGCUUUGCUCUUUGUUCAAAUUCUAUCAAAUUUGGUAUAUUUGUAGCCAAGAAAUAGCUGAAUGUGAUCAAUGGCAUCUGUGUACAUAGAAUCAUUGUUAGCAUAAUGUUUUCCUCUGUCAAAUAGGAAAAAAACUCAGGCGAGGAUAAAAUUGUUACAUUUCUCCUGUAGUUUUUUCUAAUUUACUCAGGCAUACUAAUAGACACAAUAUUUUAAACAAACAGAAAUGCAUUCUCUGAGGUCCCUAGAUGUCCCUAGACACCAAGAACAUGCAUAUGCACAUUAUUAUUGUGGUGCAUUUCUUCAUUUUCUUCGGGAAUGUCUUUUUAGGUGAUUUUUUCUUUUAAUAUGGCCAGGGUUUAGAGGGUUAACCCUCAUGCAUUGUUCGCAAACACUACCCUAAUGUGUUGUUCGGGGACAAAAACGUCCCCUAACUUUAACGGUUUUAAAAAUAUAUUAGAUAAAUAUUUUUUUGAAAUUUUUUUGCAUAGACCUUUUAAUUAACUUCAGUUCUAAUCAACAGUAGUGAAAAAAUCAUUUUCCCCCAGGAUUUUAACCCUUUAAUCACCAAUUUUAUAAGGGGUGGUGCUGAAAAUUGAAAAAAAAAAACACAAAAUGGCUCAUUUUUAAUAGAAAAGGUGAAUGUGGACUGGAUUCUUUUGAACCUUUAUUGCAGUCUUGGUCAUGUCAAACAUCAGUAAAAAAAUUGACUUGAUUGCAUUAUUAGUUUUUGCACAGCACUGGAUU